rnacentral:rRNA from 1 species
CCGCCGGCGACCGGCGCACGGGUGAGUAACACGUAUGCAACCUGGCCGUGACAGAUGGAUAACCGGGAGAAAUCCCGCCUAAUACAACAUAAUGCCGGGAGGGGACAUCCCCUGCCGGCCAAAGGGGGCGACCCCGGUCACGGAUGGGCAUGCGGUGCAUUAGGUAGUUGGUGGGGCAACGGCCCACCAAGCCGACGAUGCGUAGGGGUUCUGAGAGGAAGGUCCCCCACAUUGGAACUGAGACACGGUCCAAACUCCUACGGGAGGCAGCAG